ACAGAAUGCUUGGGACUUAUUCAAAAUGUUGGUCAACAUUGGUACGAUCAACCAUGGCCAAGACCACAACCAGAACGAUUUUAUAAGAUUGGUGAUCGCAAGGUGUAUUUUCUCGAAACAUUCCACAAUGUCCCUGUUCAAGUGCAUGCUGCUGUCAAGUCGAAUGACGAAUUGAAAAACAAACCGAACUCAAGAGCUUCUAAAAUUUCAGUGAAAGAAAACCAAAUCAAUGAACAGUUUUAAACUGCAAAAACAGUCUGUGAAAAGGCAAAAGGAUCCAAUGUUUCACUUGUCUACUCCAUUGCGAAAACACGAAAUAAACACAAAAAGCACCAAAAAUCUUGAACUUGAAGCAGCACUGCUUGUCAAAAAAUUGAGU